AGGUCGUCAGCUCAGGCUCCAAAUAUGUAACAGUGAGUUUCUAAGUGAGUCACACGGACGCGGUUGGUUUCCAGUGAGGCAUAACUCAUCGCUUCACUCUUCUCAACGGUUCCCUCUUCGGAAGGAAGCGCAGUCCGCAGCGUCGUCCGAGGGCGUGAUCGCCUGCGUCGCACCCGCGUCUCCAGUGGCCACCCCUUGUCCUACAGGAACGCGCAUCUGCUUAGCAGGCGCUGAGCCCUUGAGGAGGCCUAAAAUGAAUGAACGCGGCUGUGCCUCCUGAGCAGGCUCACAGUUGUGGGUGGGGGACAGAAGGGUGUCCAUGCCUAAGGUCGACGGCGAUAAGACAGACGUUCUUCCCAGGAGGAGAUCAGUUCCAGAGGAAGAAGUGAAGAUAAGAAACCACUCGAAGCCGGUGUCUGGUGCUGGGACCGUGGUGGCUGGGACGGCAGCAGUCGUGCUGUCCAUCUGCUCUUCCGAGGGGUGGCACAUCCUAGCCUCUAUCUUUUCCCCAGAGAAGAUCCCCCUCGUCUGCUCUUCCCCCGUCUCAGCCUUUUAGUGUGUGAACAGUUCUGGUGUUACUCAGCAACGCUUUUGUUAGCGCCUUUACCAGCAAGUACUUGUUAAACACUUAAAUCUUACAAGUGGAAAGAAAAUUCCGUGGUAAAUUUAAGUACAAAAGUCAACCAAAAUUCUGAGUCUCGGACAAGACUGGUUAAAAAUCGUUCUACAAUGAAACUAAUAAAUUAAAUCAUAUAAAACUUUUAUUGCUUUGCAAGGAAGCUUUAGUAUUAAAUGUAA
rnacentral:lncRNA from 1 species